AUUGAACGCUGGCGGCAGGCCUAACACAUGCAAGUCGAGCGAGAGGCGGACGGGUGAAUAAUGUAUGGGAAUGUGCCCGAGAGAGGGGUAUCACCACUGGAAACUGUGGCUAAUACCGUAAACUACACGCUGACCACAUAUGGGAUGAGCUAUUAGGUGGGGUAGAGGCUCACCUAGGCGACGCUCUCUAGCUGGUCUGAGAGGAUUAUCAGCCAAACUGGGACUGAGACACGGCCCAGACUCCUACGGGAGGCAGCAGUGGGGAAUAUUGCACAAUGGGCGCAAGCCUGAUGCAGCCAUGCCGCGUGUGUGAAGAAGGCCUUAGGGUUGUAAAGUACUUUCAGCGGGGAGGCGUUACCCGCAGAAGAAGCACCGGCUAACUCCGUGCCAGCAGCCGCGGUAAUAC
rnacentral:rRNA from 1 species